GCGGCAAGCGGGUCAACAGUCGCCGCGCCGCGUGACACGCUCCAUCGCGGCAAACACCAUUGCCGCGGGAGCGCCUCAUGCUGCGACGGCAACUGGAGCGGGAUCUAGCCGGACCACCGCUUCAGUUCCUGCCGCUGCUCACGCCGCGCCAGCAGCUGGAGCGGGGCCGUCUCAGACCACCGCCACUGCUCCCGCCAAGCGGCCAAGGGAAGCUUCUCCUCCGCCUCCUCGCGCCGGGCGCGCGCCGGACUUCGACUUCUCCGCGUUCAGCUCCGACGAGGAAGAAGAAGAAGAGACCCUGGCCCAGAGAGCGGCAAAGAAAGCUAAGGUCCUGGUGAUCGUCAUCGAGGACGAGCCCACUACGACAGCAGGUGGCGCGCCCCAGACAACCUUGCCGGACCCGACGACUUUUCUCCAGAGCAGCCCCCAGCGAGCAGAGCAGCCCCAGCAAGAGCCAAGGGAGAAUCCUCCGACAAGGGAGAGCUCUCCG